UUAAAAUAAACUGUAUUUUUUAGAACCGUUUUAGAUUUACAGAACAACUGCAAAGGUAGUACAGAAUUGCCAUAAAUUCCAUUUCAGAUUUCCCUAUGAUUACCAUCUUACAUUACAUUCUUCACAACUAAUUAAUCAACCUUGAUUCUUAUUACUAAUGAAAGUCCAUGCUUUAUUUAGAUUUCCUUAGUUUUUCCCCAAGUCCUUUUUCUGUCCCAGGAUCCCAUCCAGGAUACCACAUUACAUUUCGUUUUCACGUCUCCUGAGUUUCUUCUAGGCUGCGGCAGUUUUUCAGACUUUCCUUAUUUUAUUUUAUUUUUUGUAGAGACAGCAUCUUGCUAUGUCGGCCAGAUCAGGCCUCGAACUCCUGGCCUCAAGCAAUCCUCUCGCUUCAGCCUCUCAAAGUGUACGGAUUACAGGCGUGAGCCACGUCUGGACUGUACUUUCCCUACGUUUGAUAACCUGACAACUUUGAGGAAUAUUGGUCAGGUAUUUUGUAGGAUGUUCCACUAUUGGAAUUUGUUUGAUAUUUUUCUCAUUAUGAGACUGAGGUUAUGGUUUUCCAGGAGGGAGACCACACAUGUAAUAUGCCACAUUCAUCACAUCAUAUUGACUACAUGCCAUCAAUAUGAGUCACGAUUGUUGACGUUGACUUAGAACAUCUGGCUGGGGUAGUGUCUGUCGGCUUUCUCCAUUGUAAACCUACUGUUUUUCCCUUUCCACAUUGUACUAUUUUGGAGGAAGUCACUGUGCACAGCCUAGGGUACAUGAUCUACAUAAAUUAUUUGGAAUUAUUCUGUAUAGGAGAUUUGUCUCCUCUCCGCCUUUUAUUUAUUUAUUCAAUUAUUUAUUUAUAUCAGUGUAGACUCAUGGAUUUUUUUACUUUGGCUUGUAAUCCAAUACUACCUUGUUUAGUUUACUUCGUUGCUCAAAUGGUUCCAUCUUUGGCAGCUGGGAGCUUUCAGGUGGUUCCUGUGUCUAAACAUUCUGCCAUCAAGGCAGGAUUCGUUCUUUAGUUUUAUUUUUUUUCUUCUCAUUCAAUUGAGACAGCGUCUCAUUCUGUCGCCCAGGCUGGAGUACAGUGGCGCGAUCUCGGCUCACUGCAUCCUUGACCUCUCAGCCUCAAGUGAUCCUCCCACCUUAGCCUCCUGAGCAGCUGGGAUCACAGCGUGCGCCACCACGCCCAGUUAAUUUUUUUAUUUUUUGUAGAGAUAGGCUUUCACCACAUCGCUCAGGCUGGUCUCAAACUCCUGGGCUCAAGAGAUCCUCCCCCUUCGGCCUCCCAAAGUGUUAGGAAUACGCGCGUGAGCCACCGCGCCCGGCCCGAUUUUUCCUUUUUUGAGUAUCACUUCCUUACUUUUCAGCCUCAGCCUUGUUUUUCAAGGUGCUUUACCACCACCUGGCACAAUCCACACUUUCUAUUUAUCUCUCCCCGUUAAAGUGCCGGGACCUGGAGGGUGGGUCUUGGCAGUAUUUUUGAGCGCGGUGGGCACACAAGGGGACGCUCAGUUGAUAUCCAGAGAAUGAUGAGCCCGGCGGGUGUUGAGGCCGACUGGAGAGAGGUUGGUCGGCAGGGUUCUGGGAAGGCGGUGCUCGGCCUCCGUGUGACCGCAGGCUCCUCGCCCGCGUCCUCGAGGGUCCCAGGGAUGCAGGACCUGCCACAGCUUCCGCAGCCACACCCACGCUCAGAGACCGCUUCCAGCGUCCUCGCCGCGGCAACGCACCGGACUGCAAAUGUCACCAGCGCAGCGGGGAUUCCCGGGGGAAGUCCAGCGCGCUCCCUGCCCUGGGGACCAGAGGAUGAGCGGAGGAAGUGUCUUGGGCGGCAAACAUCCCACUCCCCGCGCCGGUCCGCGCAGCCCGCGGGAACGCCCCGGGGCUUGCGGGAGGGGCUGGAGCGCGUCCCCGGCUCCGGGCGGUCCCGAGCGCAUGGACUCCGGGUGGGGCGGGAACCCGCGCUCUGUGAGCCGGCUGCCGCCGCGCCCCAGCGCUGUCAUCCCGGGGCGGGGCCUGGUCCCCAGCUGUGGUCGCUUCCUAAGCGGCGGGGGCUGAGCCGGCGGCGCCCAGAUGCGGCCGCGGCGGCGCGGAGCUCGGGCGGCCGUGGAGGAGCUCAGCCUCGGCCGCAGGAGGCGCCGGGAGCGGAGCCGCCGGGAGUCGCGCAACAGGUUUCCUUCCCCAUCGCUGCAUCCACAGGGGACGCGCGCCCUGCCGGGAGAGGGGCUUCUCGGUUCGCACUCUCGCUCCCGGUCCAGCUUACUGACUCUGAAGGUAUAUUUUUUGCAUAUGUAAGGAGGUCAUACAUCAUUUUUUCUCUCAUCUGAUAUACGGAAUCCUUCAAAGUCGCCACCUUGUUCAUCAUAUCACUGAACCCACCAGAGCUUGUGCCAGGCAAAAUGAAAGACCGGCUAGCAGAACUUCUGGACUUGUCCAAGCAAUAUGACCAGCAGUUCCCAGACGGGGACGAUGAGUUUGACUCGCCCCGCGAGGACAUCGUGUUCGAGACGGACCACAUCCUGGAGUCCCUGUACCGAGACAUCCAGGACAUUCAGGAUGAAAACCAGCUGCUGGUGGCCGACGUGAAGCGGCUGGGAAAGCAGAACGCCCGCUUCCUCACGUCCAUGCGGCGCCUCAGCAGCAUCAAGCGCGACACCAACUCCAUCGCCAAGGCCAUCAAGGCCCGGGGCGAGGUCAUCCACUGCAAGCUGCGCGCCAUGAAGGAGCUGAGCGAGGCGGCUGAGGCCCAGCACGGCCCGCACUCGGCAGUGGCGCGCAUUUCGCGGGCGCAGUACAACGCGCUCACCCUCACCUUCCAGCGCGCCAUGCACGACUACAACCAGGCCGAGAUGAAGCAGCGCGACAACUGCAAGAUCCGCAUCCAGCGCCAGCUGGAGAUCAUGGGCAAGGAAGUCUCGGGCGACCAGAUCGAGGACAUGUUCGAGCAGGGUAAGUGGGACGUGUUUUCCGAGAACUUGCUGGCCGACGUGAAGGGCGCGCGGGCCGCCCUCAACGAGAUCGAGAGCCGCCACCGCGAACUGCUGCGCCUGGAGAGCCGCAUCCGCGACGUACACGAGCUCUUCUUGCAGAUGGCGGUGCUGGUGGAGAAGCAGGCCGACACCCUGAACGUCAUCGAGCUCAACGUACAAAAGACGGUCGACUACACCGGCCAGGCCAAGGCGCAGGUGCGGAAGGCCGUGCAGUACGAGGAGAAGAACCCCUGCCGGACCCUCUGCUGCUUCUGCUGUCCCUGCCUCAAGUAGCAGGCCGGCCCGGGCCGCCACCGCCCAUCCCAGACCAUGGAGCGCGCUGGGAAGGACGCACCAAAGCCGGGAGCUCUGUCCUGCAGGGAGUUGCCCCAACCCUUUCCGGAACUCAGUCUUUAGAAAAGAAACGCCAGGUUCAAGAAUUGCAAACCAGCCCGUGCUUGGAAAGAUGGUUAGUUGAUACCGUCCGAUGAUUCUUCAGUAAAGAUAGAUUCCCACAAAGUUGUGCAAUGUCAUUAUAUGACACCUUGCACUCUUACCGUCUUGACAGAAGCCGAGUAAGGAACUGACGUUGUAUCUGACUGUAGGGUGAAUGUCUGAGGCCUGCCUCCUAAUAAAGACUCAAGGAGGAAGUCAAUUGGGCAUCUGCUAAUAGAAUGAACUCAUGAUGGAAACUUCAGUUCAUUUACUUUGUCCUGAAAAUUCCCUGGUUCUGUUCCAUUUUGAGCGAAAUUGGCCUUGGGAAAAACCACGUUCUUCCUUUCCGAUUCUUCAUCCGGUCUACGCUAUGCAAUUCCUCCCCAAAUAUAGAUCUUAUUUCUGCUCAUUUCCCCUACUUAUUAAAAUCACACCAAACACUUACUAUUUUCUUAUCUCUUUCACUUUUUAAAUAUCUUUCACCAGGUUAUAUUUUGGUAUUAUUUUUCCAAACAUUUUUAAGCACUGAAUAUCGAACAAGCACUCAAAUUGAAGUAUCAGUCAUGUUUUGUGUAUUUUUCGCUGAUAAAAAUUAUUUAACAUUUAUAUUUUUACUUGAUUACAUAUGCACAUGUAUGUAAAUGUAAAAUACUAAUAUUCACUAAUGUAUGUACAUAAUGAUCAAUUGGUUUAACUUCUUUUAUGUAAGUAUGGUAUAUAAAUUUCAAGACGAACA